rnacentral:rRNA from 1 species
UACGGGGGGGGCAAGCGUUGUUCGGAAUUACUGGGCGUAAAGGGCUCGUAGGCGGCCCCUUUUGUCGCGUGUGAAAGCCCCGGGCUCAACCUGGGAACGGCGCGCAAAACGGGGGGGCUUGAGUUCAGGAGAGGAGAGUGGAAUUCCCAGUGUAGAGGUGAAAUUCGUAGAUAUUGGGAAGAACACCGGUGGCGAAGGCGGCUCUCUGGACCGAGACUGACGCUGAGGCGCGAAAGCGUGGGGAGCAAACAGG